rnacentral:misc_RNA from 1 species
GUACCGCGUCCUCGCUGAUACCGCGGCAAUCCGUAUAUUACCUAAUUUGCAUACAAAGCGCCCUCUGUCAACUGUUUACCACGUGAAAUUGAAAGCGGAAGUGUUUCUUUUUUCAUCGGGACGAAAACUUGUGAAAAUGUCUUCAAUACUGAAUGCAAAGCAAAACAAGAUGAAAUACGACAGGGCAAAUCUUUUGAGGGCAUUUCAAGCCACACAAGAUACAAGAUACAAGAAACUUUAUUUAACGUCGGAUACUAUAUAUAACAAAAACAUUAGCUUAAAGCUAUUUCCCAUCAAACAUAUGUAAAAAAUAAUAUAACUAUUAAAAAAGGCUGUAAAAGAAAAGUACAUGGUUAAAGCUUAACAUAAAAAAAGAUAAGCAUAUUAUAUUGGUACAUGCAAGUAAAAAUACAAGUCUAUGGGCAUAAAUAAGGAAUUAGUAGUUGACAGUCGGGUAUGUGACAAGUGUGAGACAAAAAACCUAAUUCCCCAAGUAAAGUACUUAUCCCAACCUACCGAAAGAAAGAUGUAGAAAGGGAAAAGGGGCUUGAGAGGGUCAUACACAGUGCCACACCCACCUCUGUCAUCUACAAUGUUAUCACAAUAAAAACAGAUUGACAUCAUGCAUGAAAGAGAGAGAAAAAAGAUAUAUAUAAAAAAUAUAUAUAUUAAGAAUAUACUAAAUUAUGACUUAUAUUACUAUUUAAAUGUAAGUACUUAGUUAAAAUGAAAAACUAUUGUUAAGAUAAUGAAUAAAUGGAUAGAUGAAGUAGUGAUAAAAAGUUUAAGAUAUGCUUCACACAGAAGGGCAUGUCAGUCUACAGGGCUUCUAGAGAGUAUAACGUUCCAGAAUCAACUCUACGUGACAGAACACGGGGAUUGGUUCCUGUUGACGUAACUGUGGGGUUUAAGCCAUUGUUUUCUCUAGAUGAAGAAGAAAAGCUUGUCAAGCACAUUUCUUACAUGGCAGGCAUAGGCUAUGGAUAUAAUGUGUCCAAAAUAAAGUACAUGGCCAGGGACUAUGCCUUACAUCUGGGAAAAGUUGUUAAGUCUGCUGAAAGUCUCAGUGAUUGUUGGUUUUAUGACUUUGUUAAGAGAUGGCCUAACUUAAAAAAUGCAAAACCACAGAAACCUGCCAUAGCUAGAGCUAAAUCUGCAUCAAGACAAACCAUUGAUAACUAUUACUGUGAACUUGAAUCUAUCUUGAAAGAACACAACUUACUAGACAAGCCAGAACGGAUUUUCAACAUAGAUGAGACUGGAGUGUCCACAGAGCACCAACCACCAAAGGUUGUUUGUAGUAAAGACACAACUCCGCAAGCUGUUACAUCACCUAGGUCUUCUUUGGUUACAAUCAUUGCAGGAGGUAAUGCCAUUGGUAAUUCUAUACCACCAUACUUUGCUUUUUUCUGGGAAACGUUGGAACCCUGAAUUCCUCCAGGAUGCCUGUGUUGGAUCAUCUGGUGAAAUGACAAAGAAUGGUUGGUCGAACACCCAGGUAUUCCAGAACUAUGUCACAAACCAUUUUGCGAAGUAUGCAAAUCUGUCACCAGAGAUACCAACCUUAUUACUGUAUGAUGGACAUAAAUCACACAUUUCCCUUACUCUUACUCAGUGGGCUGAAAGAAACAAUGUGAUAUUGUUUGUUCUGCCUCCACAUACAAGCCAUUUGACACAACCACUGGAUGUUGGGGUAUUUGGACCAUUCAAAAAGAUGUAUAGUAUGGCUUGUCACUCUUACAUGCAACAGAACCCUGGUCUUACUAUUUCAAAGUACAGUGUGGCAGCAUUGAUGGCCAAACCAUACAUGAAAGCUCUGUCCACAGAAAAUCUACAAGGUGCAUUUAGGAAAGCCGGUAUAUUUCCAUUUGACAAAACCACCAUUUCUGAUGUGGAUCUUGCUCAAGCUGUCAUCUAUGAAUCUUGCAAAACUUCUGAUUUGUCACAGGAGUGCACUCUAAGUCCAAUGCAACCUUCAUCGACCAACAUUAACUGUGAAACAAAAGUAUCUUCUAACACAGAUGACCAGUCAUUCUUUGCUGAACGUACUGUCACUAAAGCUCUUGUAAAAAAAAAACAAACGAAAGUUUGUACCUCCUUUCCUCACUGGGAAUUUAUUGAAAGAAACAAACAUUGAAAUAAUGGAACAGUCUGCAAAAAAACAAACAAAAUCAGAACCACUGUCACAAAAUCGGAAAGACCCUAUGCCAAGCACCUCAGGAGUGAAUAAAACUGGUGGACCUAUACAUCUUCUGUCAGAGGAUGAAGACAGUAUUGUCUCUGAACAGGAAAAUGAAGAUUUGUGCUGUGUUUGCUCUGGCUGGCAACCCGAGGAGAUUAGGGGAUGUGACACUAUUGUUUUCGUGACCUGAAGAAAAUGUGACUUUUGUCCACACUGGACACACUUAAGGUACUGCUCAGAGGUGAAAGUGUUGAGGAGGAACAGUGUAUUUAGAUGUCCUCACUGUUUGCAAAUUGACUAAAUAACAGCAAGUUAGAGGUUUUUUAUAUAAAAUUGGCAAAAAAUAAGAACAGAAAAAGUAAAAUAAGUUAUUUUCAUAAAUUGUGUGGUUUAACAGUGUUAAGUAACGUUUUCCAGCUCAUUGUUGAAAAUGUUGUGCCUUCAUGGACACCAUACUUUUAAUGACAGAAUUACCGCGGUACCAGAGUGGACUCCCUUGGGAGCACCUGUUAUGCAAUAUGGCCGAUUGAGCUUGAUAAACUAUUUCAAAACAUGGCUUUAAAUUAUUGAUUCCUCGUGGAUAGAUACUUGAGACACAACAGUUCAUCAUGGUCUAGGAAAUACAUAAAAGAUCCACAACCAGCUCUGAAACAUCAAGCCCGUCAAGACAGGAACACCACCCUGACUCGGAUGACGGUAUACACUGUGUCAGCAAUCAAGCGAAAGGUUCUUUUGAUGUAGAAGAACUUUUCUCUAAGAUAAACACACACCUGACAGGUUCCGAUCACUAAAAGAGGCGUCGAUCUUCUUCGGGGUCCAAUUGAUUACGCAGUAACACAUCUUUACAUGGGACAAAAUACACAUUUUGAGAAUUUUUUACAAUUUUCAAAUGACACCGGUCAAAGUUGUUGUUAUAAUAUGUGUAUGUAUUAGAUCUAUAUGUAUACCAAUUAUUACACAAUUACAAUUUGUUAUUUGUUACAAAUUAUUCAGACUGAUUGAAUUAUACGAAAGACUGGAUUGUGAAAAUGUAAUUUACUCUUCUUGGGCCGACAAUAAUUUCCCUUUGGAGAGUCACAUUGGAAAAUAGUGAAAUAUUCAUUCAGAAUUAACUCUUUAAAUCAGACUAUAAUAUCAGAUUGUAUCAAACCUACCUACUAGAGGCAUUAUGCCGUACGUUUGUCAUUUCAAAAAGCGAUGAUUCAGUAAUUCCAUAUUCUUCGAAUAUGUUGUCCUGUUACAUUUUGGCAACAUUAAGAAAUAAUACAUGUGCCCCUAAUUUUAUCAGUAAAUAAAAUAUAGGCAGGAGUUCGGAUGCGUAAAAAUCAAAUCACGAGUGCGUAUUUCCUAUAUUCUAUUCACUGAUAAAAAAUAUAGGAACACAUUUAUUAUUUUCGAUUAUAACAAAACCUUAUUUCGCACUAACAUUACAUCAUUGGCUACAUAGGCUGUUACAAUUCACACCCCGAUUGGAAAGCAUAGAGGGGGUAAAAUGACAUCCAAGUUAUAUUCUAUCGUUAUUAUAUGUUUAUAUAGCGGUUGCAGCGUAUCUUGUGAGACUAUGUUUUGAAAUAUACAGUUUUAGUAUGGUAUAAAAGUAUACAGUAGUAAAAUAUAUUAUCAUUAAUAUCUUUUCUAUCUUUAAUGCACAUGUUUUUGUUUAGAAUAUAUAGGCUUUUAACUAGUCUAUUAAAGCUAAUUUCUAACCACAUACGAAGCACUCUUUACUGAAUACUUUACCUUUUAGACACUUAGAUACAUUUUAUAUAAUAGCUUGUUUCAUGUGAACAUUAAGAUCAUGAGACAAACAAUUAUGUAAGAUGAUUUGGCCGUGGCUGAUUUGUAAAAGGUUCCUUUAUGGAAGCAAUGUAUUGAAGGAGUUUAAAUCACUAUGUGGCUAGGUUUUGAAUUUGUAACUUUGGGUAUUGUUAUGUAUUAAUAAGUAUUUUGUAUCUAUUUAUGUCCAUUUAUUUACCGUAAAAGCUUUACUAAGGACGUUGUACGAUUAACACAUUAUUUAUAAUAGCAAUAACAUUUGAUUUGAAUACACACAUUGUGGAUUUAUUUACGUUUUGGCAGAAAUUAGUAUUUAAUUCAGUUAAGUUAAUAUUAAGUUGAUUUGUUAUCUUUUUCGACAGUCUUAGAUAUUGUUAAGCGUUUUUUUUUCCAUAAAUAAUCUGAUAAAAACAUCCGAAACUAUGAAGCAAGAGUAAAUCAUACACAGAUAAAUAUAUCCUAUCUGUCAAUAUACAAAUAUUACUAUGUUGCAAUUGUGUCGAAUAAAAUCUGUAAAAAGAUUCGCUUAAAGCAUAGAUAGCAACCAUGCAAAAAUAAUAGCAAACUCGGUUUGAUUUAGUCUGUUCAUGAAUUUGCAACAACCCUUACUCCGGCUUAAGAGGAACUCUCUUAUCCAUAAACAUUGAAUGAAAAGGAUCAAUUUUCAUUUCCUACUGUAUUCUGAUAGUACAACGGAAAUAAACUAAUAAAAAUCAAUGCUUGUAAGUAUCUGAUAAGGCAAGAGCUGUCAUUCCUUGCAAAUACAAACACAAUAAUUCUCAAAAUAUGAACACAGCUUACAUAAUUAUAUUU